rnacentral:rRNA from 1 species
AAUAUUGCGCAAUGGGGGAAACCCUGACGCAGCAACGCCGCGUGAAGGAUGAAGGUUUNAGUAUCNUNAACUUCUUUGAUGGGGGNAGAAUAAUGACGGUACCCAAAAAACAAGCCACGUCUAAUUACGUUCCACCACCCGCGGUAAUACGUAGGUGGCGAGCGUUGUCCGGAAUUACUGGGUGUAAAGGGCGUGUAGGCGGGAGAGGAAGUCAGAUGAGAAAUACCGUGGCUUAACCACGGGACUGCAUCUGAAACUGUUUUUCUUGAGUGUCGGAGAGGAAAGUGGAAUUCCCAGUGUAGCGGUGAAAUGCGUAGAUAUAGGAAGGAACACCAGUGGCGAAGGCGACCACCUGGGCUAAUACUGACACUGAGGUGCGAAAGCGUGGGGAGCAAACAGG